GAUGAACGCUAGCUACAGGCUUAACACAUGCAAGUCGAGGGGCAGCGGGAUUGAAGCUUGCUUCAAUUGCCGGCGACCGGCGCACGGGUGAGUAACGCGUAUCCAACCUUCCGUACACUCAGGGAUAGCCUUUCGAAAGAAAGAUUAAUACCUGAUGGUAUCUUAAGCACACAUGUAAUUAAGAUUAAAGAUUUAUCGGUGUACGAUGGGGAUGCGUUCCAUUAGGUAGUAGGCGGGGUAACGGCCCACCUAGCCAACGAUGGAUAGGGGUUCUGAGAGGAAGGUCCCCCACAUUGGAACUGAGACACGGUCCAAACCCCUACGGGAGGCAGCAGUGAGGAAUAUUGGUCAAUGGACGAGAGUCUGAACCAGCCAAGUAGCGUGAAGGAUGAAGGUCCUACGGAUUGUAAACUUCUUUUAUAAGGGAAUAAACCCUCCCACGUGUGGGAGCUUGUAUGUACCUUAUGAAUAAGCAUCGGCUAACUCCGUGCCAGCAGCCG
rnacentral:rRNA from 1 species